AGACUCAGAAGAGUUCAAACCAUGGUGGGUCAUUGUUCCAGUGGUCAUUGUGCUCUUUGUUUCUCCUGGCCUUGUUUACUGCAGGAUCAAAAGAAGACGACAAAAUAGAGAAAAUGUACACAGUGCUGACGAAAUGCCUGAAACCCGUGUUCCAUUGUGUGAAAACCCAUUGCCAGGGCCAGGCCAUGUCGUGCCGCCACUAGUGCCAAUUUCCCAGUAUGUCAGCUGAAACAAGGGGUAGACAUGUGAAUGCAGCUAAAUGGAGAUUUUUAUAACUGAUAUUAACCCGUUGUGAAUAUGGAAUACAUAAUCUUUACAGUUUGCUAAUCGGCUAUUUUAAUCAAGUCUGCCAAUUUCGUCAUGUUUAUCUUUUUUCUAAACUAGACAUUUUACCAUACACAUGGAUUGUACCGCAUAUUUUAUCUUAUUUCUUUCACUGAGUAUGAUUGCAGUAAAAUCCGUCAUAAGAACUUUGUGUCCGAUAAUCCUGGUAGUAUUUACACAAUCCUUAUGCGUGUAACUGUUUACCUCUGCGUGAACAUGUUAAUCUUUUGACUUCAAGUUUUGUGUCUCAAACUUAACCUUUCCACUUAUAAUAGCGUGGUUUUAAUGACGUGUCAAAAGUGCUUUUUUGUAUUGUGGUUAUAAUGGAGCGGUUUUAAUGGCGUUUCGAAACCGACUUUUUUGCAUUGUGGUUAUAAUGGCGUGUCAAAAGUUCCCUUUUCUGUAUUGUGGUUAUAAUGGCAUGUCAAAAGUGCCUUUUUUCUGUAUUGUGGUUAUCAUGGCGUGUCCAGAGUGCCUUUUUAGUGUUGUGGUUAUAAUGGCGCGGUUAUAAAUGCGUGUCAGAAGAGUCUAUUUUGUAUUGUAGUUAUCAUAUCGUGUCAGAAGUGCCUUUUUUGUAUCGUGGUUAUAAUGGCGCGGGUUUAAUGGAGUGUCAAAAGUGUUUUUUGUAUUGUGGAUGUAAUGGCGCGGUUUUAAUGGCGUGUCAAAAGUGCCUUUUUGUAUUGUGGUUAAAAUG